rfam:Myotis davidii contig121335, whole genome shotgun sequence.
GGCGGUUCUCGGGUGAUGCACCCCGGAACCAGAGAGGAAGUAGCUGAUUCUGGGGUACAUCACCCGAGAACUGCC